rnacentral:ncRNA from 1 species
CCCGCUUCACUUAAGUAUAUCAGAUAGCGGAGGAAUAGGAUCUCAUAGGGAUUCCAUUCGUAACGGAGAGUAAAGCGGGAAGAGCCCAGCGCCGAAUAGUUCAGACAUUGCAUAAUACGAAAUGUGGCGUAUAGGAUCAGUCUUCCAGCAGUAUCGUUUGUCUGAAUUCCUUACGAUUGAGGCCAUAAACCAGAGAGAGUGCGAGCCCCGAUUAGGUUAAAAAUGGUGUCAUUUUGUACAAUCCUGGUCGUUUGAUCAUUUAAAAGUCAUUUGAAGAGUGGAAAUUUGAUAAAACGCUCGCAGUUCAAAAAGUGAAAAUAUACAUGGAAUUACAUGGAAUUGGGAAAAUUUUUGAAAAAAAGUGAAAUAAGUCUCGUAACUCGAGCCCAGCCUAUAUUUUUUAUGUUGUAUAUCGACACUAUUUGGGACUAGC